AAACUUGACUUUACUGCUUAACUUGUUCAACAUCCUCCUCCUCUUCAUUUAUCGUCUUGUCUCUUUUUUUGUCUCCUCCAUCACCAUCACCAUCUUUAUACUUCAAUUCACUAUGUCUCACGUUUUUUCUCCUCUCCUCUUGUUGUUCACUUCUCAUCGUCAUCACCAUCUUAUUUCUUGAAACAUUUCCACUUUGAUUAUCUGGCCCAAGUUACUAUGGGAUUAGCCAUAUAUCCGGUGUUAACAUUACCGUCACCACCAUCAUCGUCAUCAAAAGGCUCGAGAUGGCGAUUCAAUAUAAAAAAAGCUAUUUUUUUCUGGUCUCCAGUCAGAAGCAAACGAUAGUAGAUAAGGUGGACAAACGUAAAAUUGGUUUCAUCAGAUACCAUUGAAUCGGCUAAUAAUGAACCAGAUUUUUUGUUGAUUAAACUGUUCAACGGCAAACUCCAUUUCACAACAAUCCCAGCUUGAAUAGAGGAUUAACCAUUUGAUCCAAAUACAUGAACUUUUAUUUGGCAAAUUUUUGCCGUCUUUAACUGAUGACAGUUGAACAUUAUACACAAUUUUAUAAUUAAUAUUGAUCAGCAUUCUGACAUGUUUCUGUACAAAUUAAUGACUUUUGUUUGAAUUUACCGAAUCUUGAGUUAAUCACUUCAGCAAAAAAAAUUAGAUAAGCAAGAAAAUUGUCAAAAGAGUAAAACAUUGGGAUAAUGAAAAUUAUGCUUUUUAUGCAAAAUUUUCACUGUCGACUGGUAAUCUUAUAAAACACACUUAUCCCUGCCAAUUGUUUAUCAGUUACAAAACAAAUGAUUGAAGCAAAAAAAGGUAAAAAUCAAGCAUCCAAGUUAAUUACUUGGGUUGAUUAACAUCUUUUAAUGAUAAAUGAUAAUUUAAUUGUUUACAAUGUAUAUUCAAUGUGUCAGUAUGUUUAAAUAUUUCCUUGCUGUUCAACUUUGUCUCACUGAUUUUGCUUCUAAUGACUUUUGUUGUUUAGGCCUAGCAAAAUACAUAAUAAUGAUGAUGAUGUAUUAAUAUGAUUUCAUUGAAAGUCAUGAAUAUAAUACCGAUAAUGAUGAUAAUAAUGUUAAUGGUAAUCAUCAUUAUCAUCAUAAUCAUGAUGUUUCAAGUAACAACAAAGCAACUGUAAACAAACAUUUUGACAACAAUUGAGCUUCAACGUAAACUUGGAUUUGCAAUUGAAAUUUAUCCUUUUGCUGAUAAUUUUGGAUUCAUUUUUCACAUUUCUAACCCUUCUCAUCUAGAUGAAUAUCAUCAAUGACAGUCAAGAGGCCAAUUAAAUGACAAUUGAUGCAGAGUAAAUACAUCUAAACGUGGUUAAAAUGCUCAAUGUAAUUACAUUUACAUAGGAAUUACAAUUAGCUGUUCAAACUCAAGGUGAUCACCUUUUGUUGUUUUAACUUUUUUUGCGCUUUAAACAAAGAUUCAUCAUCACCAUGGCCAUCUCAGGUUCAAUGGUUAACAAAUGGGAUCAACCUUUACACUUGAAGGCUAGACUGUUGACAGUUGAGAUGGUAGGCAAACAGACAUUAACAGAAGACACAAAAAAAAAGGAAAAACAAAUCGACGUCAACUCUUUUUUUUAACAUUAUUUAACAACAGACAGAUACACACAAAACACACAAUAAUUAACCACCAGGCCUUCUUUUGUAUUUUUUGGUUUCUGCUUUGUCAGUGUGUCAAUGUAAUUGUUUUUACCGGUCUUAAUAUCUUACAGCUCUAGUUGUGUUUUGGAUCAAUGGAGUUGUAAUACUAAAGGCGAGUUAAAACAUCUAAUAAUAAGCCCCAAAAUGAGAUGCUCAAGAUGAUUAUUAGCAUUUGGUGAUUUCCAGUCUCAUCAGUUUUCCCUGUGUGUGUGUUUCUGGCUGCCAUUAGAAGCUAUUGACCGAUGAAUGAAAAUUAUUAUCAUUGGGAAAGAAAGCCAUAAAAUAAUGAACCUUCGUGACACAAUCCAUUGAAGAUGAUUUGUGUAAAGUCUAACGAUUAAGCUGGUGAUGGUAAGAAGACACGGACAUGAGUAAAGAUUAUAGACAGUGAGAAGCAAAGGAAGACGGUUAAUACAAAUGGCGACAGAAAAGAUUGACAAGGAGGUAAAAAAGGUAACCACGCCUGAAGGAUUCAAGAUUAUUGUUACACAGCCUACAGCUACAAGAUUUGGAUACUUGAAAAUGCUACUGAUUGAGGUUGAGGAAGAUGCUACUAAUGCUGAUGAUAUUGAUGUUGAUGGCAAGAAAGAAGUUAUUUCCUUUCUUUUUCAAUCUUUCUCAUCAUUUUUAAUCAUUCAUUGAAAGGGAACCAACUGUUGACUGUUUGCUUAUCACCAAUUCAUUUCCGACUGUUUUUUGAAUGAAUUGGAACAAAGAAGGUCAAGGAAAACGGAAAAAAAGUGGAAAACAAAAGCAUAACAAAGCUCAAUACCAACAAAUGUAAUUAUCAAUAAUGGGCAAAGGAUAAACUUGAUUGAACAGUUAUCAUGGUAUUAUUUGAUCUCUCAGGCAAUUAAUAACCAGUGAUGGAGUCAAUGUUUGAGUUGGAAACCUGUGAAAAAAAACAUUAACCCAUCAAUGAGUCCAUCAUGGUUAUUAUCGUAAUCUCCAAUUGCUGUUACCCUGAAUUUUGUAGACUAUUCAUUUUCCUCUGUCUCUUCCUUCAGAUUAUUCAUCUUAUCAUUUUCCUGCUCAUCGACUCAUUGUUCCAAGUUUACUGUCUACCAACACACUUUCAUUGACGUUUGACUUUUUUUUAUAUCAUCAUUUCUUGUGCCGCCAUUUCUCCUGUAAUUUGCUGGUUUUGUCAAAUUACUUUGUCAGAAUGGAUGAAAAUAUUAAUUCAAAGGAAAUGCUAAAAAAGCAGCUGAAACAGCAUGUGGCCAUAUACAAGGUAACAACAGCAACAAAACCAAACGUACCAACGAUGUUGGCCUCAGGUUUAGUUAAAAGCAAGUAAUAACUAGAAGCAACACACUCUCAAGUAACUGUAGCAUCAGUCAACAUGAUAAAGACGAUGAUAGAGUGAGACAGAAGGAGAUGAAAUAGGUUUUUCAUCCUUCAUCGUCAGUAAAAAAAAGUAGCAGGAAAAACAAAAAUUGUAAUUGUAAUACAAAACCAUCUGCUUUCAUUGCAAUCAUUAGUCUAUUUGACAAUUGUAAUCAACUUACAUACCUUAUUUUUAUUUCA